ACCGUAGCUCAGAUGGAAGAGCGCUGGGCUUACGCCCAGAGGUCCCGGGUUCGUAUCCUGGUGG
rnacentral:tRNA from 13 species